AGGGCUUAUUCAGUGCCUUCAAGUAGGACAUGGUUCUUACAGGUAUGUCAAAGUCCUUCUGUGUGACAGAAAUGUAACUGUUUGGCCUUACUAAAAAGUAGCAGAGCACAGAUUGGGAAAAUCCUGAUCUGACUAUUCCUGCUGUCUAACUCUUAUGUAACAAAUCUUUCCCUUUUCUUUCCAAACAGUUAAGUACCCUUUUGUUCUACAAAACAAGUAGCAGUUUGGGGCUCAAGAAGAAAACUCCUCAAAUACAAGUAAGAGAUGACUCCUUUAACAACAUCCUCAUCCUAAAAUCAGUUCAACACAUAAACACGGGAGAGGGAGGAGGAAAAAUAAUGGCUACUAAAUACUUAUGGGAGAGGGAAAAAACAGACAGACAGAAAGAUCCCAAAGCAUCCUGCACUAAAUUCUGUCCUCUAUCUGGAGUUAAAUGAACAGUAGUUAUCUGGUUUAUAGAUUUGACAAAUUCUUCUGGAUACCUGCCAACUUUGUGAUCUACUUGAACUACAGCUUAAGAACGGUAUGAGAUCACCAGGAUUUCUGCACAACUUCAAAGCUCUGUAAACUAGAGCUGCACAACUCUCAGGCUGAACAAACAUCUCCAGGCUCUCUGUGCAGCUUUAAGGCUCCUUGAACCACAGCCAUUUGUUUCACAGAGUUUACAAAUUCUAUUAAGCAUAUCUGGAGCGCACCUAAAUUCUAAUACAUGUCAGCUAUUUUUUGCAUUAAAAGGAACUUCAAUAUUCAGAAGUCCAUGGCUUUUAUCUGUCAUUUUCCUCUUCCAAAACAAAUUUUGUUUGGUUGCCAUUAAAUUAAAAUUUGUAAAUAGAAACAAUUUUCUAGACCAUAUUUAACAAAAAGAGGCCCUGGGAGAUUGUCCUUGCAGUGAAAGCUGCUACUUAUAAAAUCCCUUACUAGGAAAAGCUCCUUAUCUAAUUAAAAUUCAAACUGUCACUAAAAAAAAUUCUCCAUUAGCUGGAGAACACACACCAACAUUUUAAAACUCCAGAAGUUUAAAUGUAAUUCAUAAUCUGUUUUAAUCUGGAAACAAAUUAGAAUCUUAAAUGUAAGGCCUCCAACAGUACCAAGACAGCAGGGAUGCUCAUUUUCUUGAACACACAGCAUGUGAACAGACCCUGGUGGACUAGUCAACAGUGUAAAGUGGGUUUUCUCUUACAUAAGUAACUGGGUCACUGUUUAAUGUCCCUUUGUCAUUCUAAGACAUUAACUGCAUUCUGCAACCGAGUUAAGAAGGGAUAACAACCAACCUCCUUGACAGAUGCCAUCAAUGAAUCUCCAUAGCUUUCUCUCCUGUCAUCAGCAAUGACAUUGUUUUCUCCUUUUUUGAGCAAAUGCUAUUUUAUGGUAAUCUCUCUCUCCCUUUUUUUUUUUUUUUACAU
rnacentral:lncRNA from 1 species